rnacentral:rRNA from 1 species
AGAUUUAGAGAUUGUAAGCGAACGCGUGUUUGGUUAUUUGAGGUACCUUUUGCAUCAUGAUUUGUUGAUGGUUUAUUCUUUUGGUGUUGACCCGAAAGAUGUCGAUUCCUGUUUUUACUGUUUAGUACUUAGUUUAAGGCGGGUAGCUUAGGUUAGAUAAAGACAGGGUUGUGAAAAAUAAUUCGGGACAUCUAAUAUCUGGUUUAGGGGGUUUGGGUUUUGUUUUAGUUGUUCAGCGAGGAUGUUGAGCAGCGUUUAAUAGAGUGUGUUUAAGUUGGAGUUACGUGUGGGUUAAAGUUACCCCUGCGUAGGGUUUGUGUUAAGACUCGAAUGGCUGAUUAGCUGGAUUCUUUACUCAUCACCUCCCCCUCCCGAACUAGUGAGUAGUAUGAUAAAAUAAGUAGGUUUUGAUUAGUUGCAUUUUUUCUCGAUUUUUUCCGGUCUGUUUAUUAAAAACAUUUCCAUUCUGAGAUUUGGAUGGUAGUGCCUGCCCAAUGCUUGGAGUUAAUGGCCGCAGUAUUUUGACUGUGCUAAGGUAGCAUAAUUAGUUGCCUCAUAAUUGGGGGAUUGUUUGAAAGGUUUGACCAGGGAGAUAGAUUAGAUUGUGGCUUGUCCUGAAAUUAAGUUGUUGGUGCAGACUCCAACGGUAGUAUAUUAGACGGAAAGACCCCGAGAUCUUUAUAUUGUGGUGUUUACUUGGGGCAAGGCUAUGUAGUUUAUGUAGUUUUAGAUCCUAAGGGAUUAAAGGUUUAAGUUACCUCGGGGAUAACUAGGUAAAAAAUGAGGAGAGAUCUUAUCGAUUCGUUUAAUUGCCAUCUCGAUGUUGACUUGGGAAAUGCGAUGGGGUGCAGAAGUUUCAUUGCGUGGUCUGUUCGACCUUUAUUCCCUCAUGAGUUGAGUUAAGACCGGCGUGAGCCAGGUCGGUUCUUAUCUAUAAUUGAUGCGGAUUAGUACGAAAGGAUUGUUUGCAUUUUAUGUU